AGUAACGCGUGGGUAACCGUGCCUCAUACAGGGGGAUAACAGUUGGAAACGACUGCUAAUACCGCAUAAGCGCACAGGAUCGCAUGAUCCGGUGUGAAAAACUCCGGUGGUAUGAGAUGGACCCGCGUCUGAUUAGCCAGUUGGCAGGGUAACGGCCUACCAAAGCGACGAUCAGUAGCCGACCUGAGAGGGUGACCGGCCACAUUGGGACUGAGACACGGCCCAA
rnacentral:rRNA from 1 species